UUCAUCUUCUUCUCUUCUUCUUCCUUAAUCAAAAGUUUGAGUUUAUAAGGGGCUUUAAAUUCCAAUAAGUAAAGGAGGUUCUUAUAUUCUUUUGUGAGAUAGGGGAGAGAGUAUAUGUAUAUGGACUAAUGGGGGAGAGAGAAUAUGUAGUUUAGGUUCUGCCUCGCUCCACACCCUCUAUCUUUUUAGGUUGAUAAUAACCCAAUUUCCUUUUGCUCUUAAACGGGUAUUUCAUCUCUGCAUUCUUUCUUCCCCCCACCCCUCUUUUCUCUGUUUGGUUUCUCUUUCUCCCUCCCUCCACUCCAUCUAUCUGUUUUGGUUGAAAAUGACAAAUUGGCUGAAUCGGCUGUAGUGGGUAUUUUUACUUUGUUGAUUCUCUCUCUCUCUCUCUCUCUCUCUCUCUCUCUUAUGAUGAUAUAGAAGAAGCAAGCAAUUUUUUGGAGAAAUGUCUCUUAAGUGUCAGAAAGCAAUCAAGGCAGUCUCCACGCAGUCAUUGACUUGUUUGAGAAGGAAGAAACGAAAGGCAACCAAUGAAUGGGCAUAAGAUUUGGCAAAGAUAUACUUGGUGCAUUAGAUGGCAAAAGUGAUAUUCAACGAUUCAAGGAACAACGGAUGCUAGCAUAUUUUUUGUGGGGAUGGAGGAUUAGAUUCUUAAUUGAGAAUGAGGAGUAGCUGGCACGUUUUUAGAGAUAUGGUGAGGUAUCUGAAAGAAUACAUUGACCGAGUGUGAUAAGAGAGGUGGAGCCACAUCACAUAAUGCAAUAGAGGUGAUCACUGUACAAGGACACCUCGGGUGGGGGGUGUGGGCCUGGCAGCCAGUGGGGUAUUGCAGAUAGACAAUGACAAUGGUGGAGUUUGGAGUAUCGAUAGAAGCAUUGGUCAUCUUCAAGGUGGUUUGUAGAAUCCAAGCCAAGGUAGAGAUUGUUGGGGUUGGAUAUAUUUUGUAUUAUGCGAAUUCACUUAUUAUUAUUGAGUUUACAUCUGUAGUUGGGUCAAGUUUUUGGUCCAUUACAUGUAUGGGGGUAGAAUUGUAAUUGUGUGGGAUUAAGGUUUUUAGGUUCCCUAUGUAUUGUCUCUAUUAGAAAAACCUGAACACAACCAAAGGAAGAUCACAUUGGUGAAGUGGAGAGUGGUGUAGAGAGUUUAAUGAAAAAUCUGUGGUUCUCUAAUAUUGAUGUAUUCAUAUCGAAUCACAUUAAAUUCCUCUUGUUACAA